AUGCCGCCCAAAUCCAAGGCCGCCGCCGCCGCCGCCGCGGAGCCGGUCUCCGUGGAGGACCUCUUCGCGGCGCUCCACCGCCACAUCGAGGCCGGCGAGUUCCCCCAGGCCGUCAAGGUCGCCGACCAAGUUCUCGCGGCGUCUCCGGGCGACGAGGACGCGGUGCGAUGCAAGGUUGUGGCGCACAUCAAGUCCGACGCGACGGACAAGGCGCUCGCGGCCAUCCGCGCCGCCGAGCGCCUCCCCAUCGAUCUCAGUUACUACAAGGCAUACUGCUACUACAGGCAAAACAAAUUGCAAGAAGCUCUGGAUAUAUUGAAUGGUCAAGAAGAAACAGCUGCUGUUCUCCAGCUGGAAUCCCAGAUCUAUUACCGAUUAGGAAGAAUGAAUGAUUGCAUGAGUAGCUAUGAGAAGCUCCAGAAGUUCAAGGUUGACUCAAUAGAUCUAAAGAUAAAUAUCAUCGCUGCUCUAGUUGCUGGUGGAAGGGCUCCUGAAGUUCAGGCAGCCAUGAAGGCGCAAAAGGUUGAUCUUACCACUAGAGCACUCAGAGAUACUAGGAGCUUCGAGCUUGCAUAUAAUUCAGCUUGCACCUUGAUAGAAAAUAAGAAGUAUUCAGAAGCUAAAGAGCAGCUGGACUUGGCGAAAAGAAUCGGGAAAGAGGAGCUUAUGGUGGAAGAUUACGCAGAAGAUGAGAUUGAAUAUGAAUUAGCUCCUGUAUCUGUUCAACUUGCUUAUGUACAGCAGCUACAAGGACAGACUCAAGAAGCCAUGGAAACCUAUGCCAAUAUGAUAAACAAGAAAUCAGGAGACCCCUCAUCACUUGCCGUGGCAACAGCCAACCUUAUUUCAGUAAAAGGUACAAAGGAUGUUGCUGAUGGCCUGAGGAAGCUUGACCGGCUUGUCGAGAAGUCGACAGCGCCGAACCAGUUGCAACUGAUCGAGAGCCUUGAAUUCAAGUUAUCUUCAAGGCAAAAAGAAGCCCUGUACUCUGCUCGUGUUCUUUUGCUCCUCCAUGCAAAUAAAAUUGAUCAGGCACAAGAGUUGGUAAGUGGGCUGCUUGCUACGUUUCGAGACAAUGUGUUCCCUGUUUUACUUCAAGCUGCAGUUCAUGUGAGAGAAAAGAAGGUCCCGAAAGCUGAAGAGGUUCUAAGUCGGUAUGCUGAGAAGCAUCCUGAUAAUUCUACAGGAGUCCUUGCACUCGCCCAGAUUGCUGCCAAUGCCAACCAUUUUCAGAUUGCUGCUGAUUCGCUAUCUAAGAUAUCUGACAUCCAGCACAUGCCUGCAACGGUUGCUACACUGGUAGCUCUAAAAGAGCGUCUAAAUGACUCUAAUGGUGCUGCUUCUGUUCUUGAUUCUGCUAUCAAGUGGUGGAAAAACGCCAUGACUGAAGAUAACAAGUUGGAUAUGUUCAUGCGGGAGGCUGCUACAUUUAAGCUCAACCAUGGGCGUGAUAAAGAGGCCUGUCAGCUGUACGAGGAACUUGUGAAGAGCUAUGGAAGCACCGAAGCGUUGUCUGGGCUAGUAGCAACGUCCGCACGCACUGACCUUGCGAAAGCUGAGCAAUAUGAGAAGCAGCUGAAACCGUUGCCGGGUCUUCAGGGAAUUGACGUAAAGAGCCUGGAGAAGACAUCUGGUGCAAGGCAUGUAGAGCAAGCCAUGAAGGUUGAUGCUCCCGAGGAAGUGAAGAAGCAAAAGGCUAAGAAGAGGAAGAGGAAGCCUAAAUAUCCGAAAGGAUAUGAUCCAGCGAACCCAGGGCCACCCCCAGAUCCCGAGAGAUGGCUGCCCAAGAGGGAGAGGUCGACCUACCGUCCGAAGAGGAAGGAUAAGAGGGCUCAGGUCAGAGGUGCUCAAGGCUCUGUGAGUAGAGAGAAGCAUGAUGCAUCUGCUGCCAAUGCCGGCGCCACCUCUUCAAAACCCACCACCUCGGCCAAGGCUCCAGAACCACCAAAGGGCUCCAACAAGUCCCGGAAGAAAAAGUCGAGGUCUUAG
rnacentral:rRNA from 1 species